GGGGAAGUAUGGUUGCAAAGCUGAAACUUAAAGGAAUUGACGGAAGGGCACCACCAGGAGUGGAGCCUGCGGCUUAAUUUGACUCAACACGGGGAAACUCACCCGGCCCGGACACCGUAAGGAUUGACAGAUUGAUAGCUCUUUCAUGAUUCGGUGGUUGGUGGUGCAUGGCCGUUCUUAGUUCGUGGAUCGAUUUGUCUGGUUUAUUCCGAUAACGAGCGAGACUCUAGCCUACUAAAUAGUGGCCGGAUUACUAAAGUCCGGUCCGCUUCUUAGAGGGAUUUUCGGUGUUUAGCCGCACGAGAUUGAGCAAUAACAGGUCUGUGAUGCCCUUAGAUGUCCGGGGCUGCACGCGCGCUACACUGGCGAAAUCAGCGUGCUUUAUCCAUUCUCGAAAGGGAUUGGUAAACCCAUGAAAAUUUGCCGUGCUUGGGAUCGGAAAUUGCAAUUAUUUUCCGUGAACGAGGAAUUCCAAGUAAGUGCGAGUCAUCAACUCGCUCUGAUUACGUCCCUGCCCUUUGUACACACCGCCCGUCGCUGCCCGGGACUGAGUCAUUUCGAGAAGAUCAGGGACCGGUGCUUCGCGGUCUCUUCGGAGGUCCGAUGCGUUGGAAACUGAUUUGAUCGCAGUGACUUGAACCGGGCAAAAGUCGUAACAAGGUAGCCGUAGGUGAACCUGCGGCUGGAUCAUUAUCGAGCAAAAACAAAAAAUGCUUAGUGCCUCAUGGUGCUAUUCAUUUGUGGCAGAAUAGUGUGCGGUCCGUUUGAUUUGACGGACGACUGCANGCCACAGUGACCAAACGGUAAACGUUGGNGUCUAUNUGGUAUGGAGUAGAUAGUGAAGUUCCGUGUCUACAAAGAAGUACCACGGGCACCCAUACGUCCUNCUAAUUCAGGGUAUACG
rnacentral:rRNA from 1 species